GAUGAACGCUGGCGGCGUGCUUAACACAUGCAAGUCGAACGGAAAGGCUCCUGCUUGCAGGGGUACUCGAGUGGCGAACGGGUGAGUAACACGUGGGUGAUCUGCCCUGCACUUCGGGAUAAGCCUGGGAAACUGGGUCUAAUACCGGAUAGGACCACAUUUUGGAUGGUGUGGUGGAAAGUUUUUCGGUGUGGGAUGAGCUCGCGGCCUAUCAGCUUGUUGGUGGGGUAAUGGCCUACCAAGGCGUCGACGGGUAGCCGGCCUGAGAGGGUGUACGGCCACAUUGGGACUGAGAUACGGCCCAGACUCCUACGGGAGGCAGCAGUGGGGAAUAUUGCACAAUGGGCGCAAGCCUGAUGCAGCGACGCCGCGUGGGGGAUGACGGCCUUCGGGUUGUAAACUCCUUUCGCUAGGGACGAAGCGUUUUUGCGACGGUACCUGGAGAAGAAGCACCGGCUAACUACGUG
rnacentral:rRNA from 1 species